rnacentral:lncRNA from 1 species
GGCCGAGCUCAAAGCCUGCGGCAUGCUAACACCACUCUCCUUUAUUAGUGGUGGUUCUGUCGAUGAAGACUAUUGUUCUCCACCUUUUCGAUCACUUUGAGAGCCAAAGUUGGGCCCUCCUCGUCUAGGACUGAGGAGGAGCUCAUUACUUUUUGACUUUGACAUCAUCCUUGACCUCUGCUUGACUUGUCCGAAGACGACGAGUGCUAGUUGGCCAUGUCCAAGGAUU